rnacentral:rRNA from 1 species
GUGAGGUAACGGCUCACCAAGGCUUCGACGGGUAGCUAGUCUGAGAGGACGAAUAGCCACACUGGAACUGAGACACGGUCCAGACUCCUACGGGAGGCAGCAGUGGGGAAUCUUGCACAAUGGGCGAAAGCCUGAUGCAGCGACGCCGCGUGGGGGAUGAAGGCCCUAGGGUCGUAAACCCCUUUCAGUAGGGACGAAAAUGACGGUACCUACAGAAGAAGCCCCGGCCAACUACGUGCCAGCAGCCGCGGUAAGACGUAGGGGGCGAGCGUUGUCCGGAUUUAUUGGGCGUAAAGGGCUCGUGGGUGGUUGCGUAAGUCGGAUGUGAAAACUCAGGGCUUAACCCUGAGACGCCAUCCGAUACUGCGCUGACUUGAGUCCGGUAGAGGAGUGUGGAAUUCCUGGUGUAGCGGUGAAAUGCGCAGAUAUCAGGAGGAACACCUACAGCGAAGGCAGCACUCUGGGCCGGUACUGACACUGAGGAGCGAAAGCGUGGGUAGCAAACAGGAUUAGAUACCCUGGUAGUCCACGCCGUAAACGGUGGGCACUAGGUGUGGGGACUUUCAACGGUCUCUGCGCCGAAGCUAACGCAUUAAGUG